UCUGUGCGCUUUGCUUUCCUGUUUGCUUGACCCCCCUCCCCCUUCCCCAAGAAAGAUAAAAGUAAAGACAAAUUGAGCUGCCAUUUUAAGAAAACAUUACUCAACUUUGCAAGGGAUGCAGUCUGCUGCAGAUUAGGAGCUUUUUGUGGACCGCAGAGACUCCAAAAGAGGUAAUUUUCAGAGGACAGCUGUUUAAAGACGUGGUUUGGAAGGGUUGACAGACCAUCAUCAUGCAAGGUAUGGAUUAUGAAAAUGUUAAAUAUGAGUACUGCAUGAGAGGUAAGCAUGUGGCCAUCAUCUGUGCUGUGGUGGUGGUAGCAACCCUUGCAGUUGGACUGGGUGUAGGACUUUCAAAAUCGGAGUCGUCCAAAGCACCAGAGGAACCCCCCAGCACACCAAAACCAACAAGCGGCCUUGAGCCACCAGUAGAUCGAGGGCCUUGCACCCCCUCCAACAGAGCUGGGGCUUGGAACAACUUCAGAUUACCUGACUACGUGAUCCCAGUCCAUUACGAUCUGGAGCUGGCACCAAAUUUGGACACCGACAUCUAUACAGGUAGCACAACCAUAAGCAUUAACAUCAAGCAGGCCACUAAACACCUGUGGCUUCACAUCCGAGAGACCUUUGUCACUGCGAUCCCCAAGCUCCAGAUGAAAUCGGGGAACAGUCAGCAGGAUGUUGCUGUGUUCAGAUGUUUUGAGUAUAAGGCUCAGGAGUAUGUAGUUGUAGAACUGAAAGAAAGUUUGCAACCAACAGCAAAUGAUGAGCAUUACCUGCUGACAUUGGAGUUCCAGGGCCGAUUAGAUGGAUCCCUGGUUGGAUUUUAUAAAACCUCUUACAUGGAAAAAGGAGUUCUAAAGAAGAUUGCUGCAACCGACCAUGAGCCCACAGAUGCCCGGAAAUCCUUUCCAUGUUUUGACGAACCCAACAAAAAGGCAACCUACAAAAUAUCAAUAAUACAUGACAAAGACUACAAUGCACUCUCCAAUAUGCCAGUGGAGACCAAUAUUAUACUUCCAGAUGGCUCUGUUAAAACAGCAUUCCAGAAGUCAGUACCAAUGAGUACUUAUUUGGUGUGCUUUGCUGUGCACCAGUUUGUUGCUGUGGGCAGAACAUCGGCCAAAGGAAUACCUCUCAACAUUUAUGUCCAGCCGCAACAAAGGCACACUGCUGAGUACGCAGCAAACACCACCAAGAUCAUUUUUGACUACUUUGAAUUGUACUUCAACAUGAACUACUCCCUUCCCAAACUAGAUAAGAUAGCUAUUCCCGAUUUUGGAACUGGUGCCAUGGAGAACUGGGGUCUCAUCACAUACAGGGAAAACAAUCUGUUGUAUGAUCCAGACCAAUCUUCCUCAUACAACAAGCAAAGGGUAGCCAGCGUCAUUGCCCACGAGCUUGUUCAUCAGUGGUUUGGAAACAUUGUGACAAUGGAUUGGUGGGAUGAUUUGUGGCUCAAUGAGGGCUUUGCCAGUUUCUUUGAAUACAUUGGAGUGAAUAAAGCUGAACCAGAUUGGAAAAUGCUUGAUGUGAUGGUCAUCGAUGAUGUUUUACCAGUAAUGCGAGAUGAUGCCCUGCUAUCCUCCCAUCCCAUUAUAGUAGAUGUGUCGACCCCAGCUGAAAUAACAUCGGUUUUUGAUGUUAUAUCAUACAGCAAGGGUGCAUCAGUGUUACGCAUGCUUCAGGACUGGAUUAGUCCAGAACAUUUUCAAACGGGAUGUCAGAACUAUUUAAAGGAUUUUCAUUUUAAGAAUGCAAAAACUGACAACUUCUGGGAAUCCCUUGCUAAGGUGAGUAGAAAACCAGUGAAAGAAGUAAUGGACACUUGGACAAAGCAGAUGGGGUUUCCUUUACUGAAUGUGUCAGAAAGUUAUUCCAUGACACAAAAACGUUUUCUGUUAGACCCUAAAGCAGAUGUCACUCAGCCGCCAACAGAUUUGGGAUAUAUAUGGACUAUCCCUAUUCAGUGGUAUGCAGUGACCACUAGAAAAAUUGGAACCCUUAUCUUUAACAUGUCAGAAAAUGCAAUUACGUUGCCUGGAUAUUCUUCAUCCGCCGAUGGACUGUUAAAAGUAAAUAGAGAUCACUUGGGAUUCUACAGAGUAAAUUAUCACACUGAAAUGUGGGACAACAUUGCUCUCCAGCUGUCCAUGGAUAAAGAGAUGUAUAGCAUUGCUGACCGAGCUGGGCUCAUAGACGACGGGUUUUCUCUGGCAAGGGCAGAUCUUCUUGAUUAUCAACAUGCUUUAAACCUCACGAAAUACUUGACAAAUGAAACAGAAUACUUAGUAUGGCAAAGAGUGUCUUCCUCCAUAUCAUACGUGACAGACAUGCUGAAGAAUGACAAUACACGUUACAACAAAUUCAAGACUUAUUUCCGUGAUCAAGUUAAGCCAAUUGCUGACCGUCUGGGAUGGCAAGACACAGGAUCCCACUUAGAAAGGUUACUGAGGGAAACCGUCUUGGGAAUUGCUUGCCAGAUGGAUGACCAAGAGGCAUUAAAUAACGCCUCUGCUUUAUUUAACGAGUGGCUUAAGAAUGGCAAAAGCGUUCCAGUUAACCUUAGACUCUUGGUAUACCGCUAUGGAAUGAAGAAUUCUGGGGACGCGGAAUCUUGGAAUGCUAUGUUUGAAAUAUACACCAACACAGCUCUUGCUCAGGAGAAGGACAAGCUGCUGAAUGGAUUAGCUUCUGUGCAGGACAUCAACCUUCUGGACAGGUUCUUAAAAUCCAUCAAAAAUGAAAGUAUUGUCAAGAGUCAAGAUGUGUUUACCAUCAUAAGAUAUGUCUCAUAUAACACAUAUGGAAAUACUAUGGCCUGGGACUGGACACGGUUGAAUUGGGAUUACUUGGUGAAAAGAUUUACCAUUAAUGACAGAAACUUGGGUCGUUUGAUAAACUCAAUUUCAGGAACAUUCAAUACAGAACUGGAAUUGUGGCAGAUGCACAACUUCUUUGAGAAAUAUCCAGAAGCAGGUGCAGGAGAGACACCGCGGAAGCAGGCGCUGGAAACUCUGAAUAACAACAUUAAUUGGGUGAAGAGAAACAAGGAUGAGAUUCUGAGAUGGCUGGACACCAUUGCUUAAUAAAAACAGAACAAUUGCCUGCUGUACAAUGGAAGCACUCCAGAAACUAAUGUAAAGAUAUAAUCAAUGGCCAAUUAUUUUUUAAGCUCAGCUCACCACUACCACCCCUGCGCUGACUCGGGAGGGCGAAGACGAACACACGCUGUCCUCCGAAGCGUGUGCCGUCAGCCGACCGCUUUUUUUCACUCUGCGGACUCACCAUGCAGCCACCCAAGAGCUACAGCGUCGGAGGACAACACAGCUCUCGGGCAGCUUACAGGCAAGCCUGCAGGCGCCUGGCCAGACUACAGGGGUCGCUGGUGCGCGGUGAGCCGAGGUGAGACUCGAACUCGCGACGUCCAGACUAUAGAGCGCAUCCUAUUUCCACAACUGAAAUUCCAAACAAGCAGCAACCAAAAAAAUAAAUAAAAAUACUUACAAAAUGAGAAUGAUUCAUUUUAAAUUGUAAAUUCAAAAAAUGAGAUUUUGUAAUAUAUACAUACCAAACAUAAACUGUGUAUGGGCCAAGCCUUUCAUGUGUAUCCAAUGUAAAUUAAUUUAAAAAUGCAGAGUAUCAUCAAGCUGGUUGUGAAGAUAGUGAACUUUAUAGUUUACUUCUCAAAAGCAAAAUUGAUUGAAAGGUUAAUUAGAUUUUUCUUAAUGAAGUUUAUAAACUAAAGUUCUGGAGGAGGUGUGAUAUUAUCAUGUUAUGGAGGUUGUAAUGCAUUAUGGGAAUGUAAAGACAGCACUUAACAAGGGCUGCUUGUUGCUGUGAAUCGUAACACAGCAGACGCCCUCGUAGUCGGCUCGUUGCAAUGAAUUUUCACAUAUGCGAAAUCCUGCCGUUUCUUCUGACCCUCUUUGCCGUCUCGCGGAGGACCAGUGUUUGAAACAUUUACUUUCAUUGCAAUUUCUUCCCACUUCUUUUUUGUUUGUUACAUUAUUUUUUAGUUUACAGAAGAAUAUAUCCUUGUUUAAUUUUACUUAAUAUUUCUACCUCAUUUUGGGUAAAUAUAUUAAUUAGUUUUUUCACUUUUGCCAGCAUUUUCUACCUGCCGUGUACUUUUUGUUUGAUUUACAAGAAAACUACCAUUUAUAUAGGGACUCAGGGCCAUAGCCAGCCAUAAAAAAUGACUGACACUUGCCCAUGGGCAUUGGAAUAUUAAUAAGCUGGAAGCAAUGUGUAAGAGCCUAAAUAAAUAAUUAUUAGUAUGAUUUAAACCAAGGACCGUGUCUCAUAGCUGGCAACGGCCUUGCUACUCCAUAAAUUAGUUUAAAAAGUGUUUCCCAACAAAGCCUUGAAGAAGCUAUUCAAUGUCUAAUGAUGCAUGUGAACAUCACGAACAAAGCUGCACUUUCACGUGAUGUUUUGGGAAACGGAAAGUCUGGAAGCAGCCACAAGUUCAUUGUGACAAUGAUUGUGAGCUCCAGUACUUCUGUUAUCAGGAAACAAGCCCCAGGUUUGAUGCCAAAGUGUUUCUUUCAUACAUCGGAUAAUCAUCAAUAAAAC